AGAAAAAAUCCCUUAAUUCCGUUUUUAUUUUUUUUAAGUGGACGGGGGAGGGAGAGCGAGUCUCUCCCGGUCUCAACGCAUCCUCAGUGAGAGUGUGUUCUGCUUUCUGAGGCCGCUGCGUGAUGUUUGGGGUUCGGUUCGGAAAAUAAAUGAAAACCGUGGGGGUUUUUUUUACCGUCUACUCCCUGUUGUCAGCGCUCCUCACACCACAGCCCCUCCCCUCCCCCCGACGCUCGCACUGACCCCCGACCCCACACAUUUACACUCUCUGCUGUGGAAGUUUCUUCUUGUUUUUUUUACAAGGCCGAGUGCGUUUUGAGCGUGACACGUGUGCGUACCAGCAUGCCGUGUGUCAAUGGCCCCGUGUUCAGCUAAGAAGCCUGUUCGUCCGUCUCUGUUGCUCACUGCUAAGCAAAGCUCGCCAUUGUGUGUCUGUUUGUGGUUUUUAGGAUGGAUUUUGUACAGGGAAACCCGCUUCACCAGCGUGCUGUUGUAUGUAGUUACGGCACCGGAGCGAAGCCGUCAGGUACGCCGACAGGUGAGAGGGGGAAACGGGGGGGAGAUCGUUCAACAAUAAUCAUGAAACAAAAACCAGCUGUUUGAGUUUGGAACGAGGUUGCAGGAAGAUUUAGGGAACCGCUCUGGUUCAAACAGAGCGGGAUUGAACUUUGAAUCAUAAGGCCCAAAUGUCUGCACCCAGGCCUGGACUCCAGCCGCACACAUCCACUUUGUACCAAGUGCAAACUGAAAUCAUCUGUGAGCUCAUGUAUAAUUUAAGAACGCUCUGCUCCAUCCCAGCCAGCCGGCAGCCUCCCUCGCUCUGCCACGCUUGUUUUCAGUCCCUUUUCAGUGUGUGAAUAAAUGGUCAUUGUUUAACAGCGUCUCUGUGGUCCUUUUUCUCUACAUUACACUGAAUUAAAGUUGUGCCUUAACAUUUUGUAACUGAACUACUUCCGAACUCUCUGAGCCUGUUAGCAUUGUUUGUGUCAUUUACUGAAGUAUUACGAGCAGCAGAGACUGAAUUUGUUCUUUCCCCUGAAUAAAAGGUAUAAAGUCAAACAUUCACAGAUGCCGCCGCCAGCGAGUGGUUGAAUUGUUAAACAAUUAUGUAAGAGGUG
ensembl:lncRNA